rnacentral:misc_RNA from 1 species
GGAUGAAGAACGUAGUAAAAUGCGAUACUUGGUGUGAAUUGCAGAAUCCCGUGAACCAUCGAGUUUUUGAACGCAAGUUGCGCCCGAAGCCUUUUGGCCGAGGGCACGUCUGCCUGGGCGUCACGCAUCGCGUCGCCCCCCACAAUUCUCCGUAAAAGGAACAUGUGUUUUGGGGGCGGAUAUUGGUCUCCCGUGCUCAUGGCGUGGUUGGCCGAAAUAGGAGUCCUUUCGAUGGACGCACGAACUAGUGGUGGUCGUAAAAACCCUCGUCUUUUGUUUCGUGCUGUUGCUCGCAGGGUAAACUCUUUAAAAACCCCAAUGUGUCGUCUCUUGACGACGCUUCGACCGCGACCCCAGGUCAGGCGGGACUACCCGCUGAGUUUAAGCAUAUCAAUAAGCGGAGGA